AUGUAUGGUGAGCCAGUUUGGAGACAUAAGCAUCGUACAUGGAAACAUUUCCGUGAUCUACAUGCCAAGGGUAAUCUGCCUUGGGUUGUGAUAGGGGAUUUAAAUGAGAUUUUGUAUUCAUCAGAGAAAGAGGGAGGUAAUGCGAGACCCUUAUCAUAUAUGUCCGUGUUUAGGGAUUGUUUGACUGAUUGUUCGCUAGAAGACCUUGGUUAUAUUGGCAACAAAUUCACUUGGAAGAGGGGGAGAAUCAGAGAGAGACUGGAUAGAGCUGUGGGGAACAUGGCAUGGGCUGGUAUGUUUCCUGAUGCAGUUGUGCACCACCUUAUUAUGGGUGGUUCGGAUCACAGGCCGAUUAUGAUUGACACAUCUACGUAU
rnacentral:rRNA from 1 species